UACGUAGGGGGGCAAGCGUUGUCCGGAUUUAUUGGGCGUAAAGAGCUCGUAGGCGGUUCGGUAAGUCGGGUGUGAAAACUCUGGGCUCAACCCAGAGCCGCCACCCGAUACUGCUGUGACUCGAGUGCGGUAGGGGAGCGGGGAAUUCCUGGUGUAGCGGUGAAAUGCGCAGAUAUCAGGAAGAACACCCGUGGCUAAGGCGGCUCUCUAGUACGGUACUGACGCUGAGACGCGAAAGCGUGGGGAGCGAACAGG
rnacentral:rRNA from 1 species